GGAAACGGUAGCUAAUACCGCAUAACGUCGCAAGACCAAAGAGGGGGACCUUCGGGCCUCUUGCCAUCAGAUGUGCCCAGAUGGGAUUAGCUAGUAGGUGGGGUAAUGGCUCACCUAGGCGACGAUCCCUAGCUGGUCUGAGAGGAUGACCAGCCACACUGGAACUGAGACACGGUCCAGACUCCUACGGGAGGCAGCAGUGGGGAAUAUUGCACAAUGGGCGCAAGCCUGAUG
rnacentral:rRNA from 1 species